rnacentral:tRNA from 1 species
GCGAACAUGUUGAAAUUGGUAAACAGUCUUCUUUUAAGCAGAAGUGGGUGUAAACCCUUAAGAGUUCAAGUCUCUUUGUUCGUA